ensembl:snoRNA
CCCUCCUACAAAGGCGUGUCUGUGGUUUCCUGUCUUUAGACACGUAAGAAUUGGAGGCAAACAAAUGUGGAUUUGGAGAAAUCUGGGGCCAGCUUCCUUCCUGCAGGCUCAAGAUCGACCAUCCCACAUAG